UUUAGCUUGUUUAUAAGCUUUGAUAUUAUCUGGAGGAAGUUCUAGGAUUGCCUUUGGCUUUCCUCUAUUAUUAUGUAUUAUAUAUGUGGAAGCUGUUACCGUGCUGGGGACCUCUGGUUCUCACCCAUGCGGAUUUUGUGGUUUUCAGAUGCAGGACGCGAGGCUUCUCGUUGAGGCAUGCUGGAGACUUCUGGAUUAGCGAAGAUCCUUGUUCUCGGGACUCU
rnacentral:lncRNA from 1 species